ACUUUGUGAUCCGCCUGCCUCUGCCUUCGAAAAUGUUGAGGUUACAGGCAUGAGUGAGCCACUGCGCCCGGCCUGGGACCGAGAUUGUUUUAAUGCUUGUAAAAAAACUUUGAGUUGAUGGUCAUCUGUAGAAAGAUUUGGCUUUAAAAAUAGUCAUUCAUCAUGCUGACCAUUAACGUAAUGGGUCAGAAAUCACACAUACUCCAUAGACUUCUAAGAAGAAAGGAAAAACAAACAAAACAAAACAAUGGGUGAAGGUUAUAAAAAGGCUUCAUGACCACUACCCCAAAAUACGGCACCUUUGCCUGUGUGGAAACAACAGAAGCAGGAAGAUUACUCUUAUUUUCUUCCGACCUUUUUCUCUUGAAGUAGACCAUAAAGAAGAAUCUGACGUUUCUCUGAAGGAAACCUUCAUUCCAGACGUACCCUCCCUAUGUCCAAAGAACAUCUUUAUCUUUAAAGACACAGAGAUGCCAAGAAGAAUCUGAACAAACAGGACUUGCCAGAUCCCCCAGUUUACUAAUAUUGGACCAUACUCUUUUGUUCUUCAAUCAUAUUUCUGCAUCAUGUUCUUAAAAAUACACAGUUUUCCCCAUUCCUUUGGGUAUUUAUUCCCGAAAGCUUCUGUGUCAUGUAAAACUUAUAUUAAAUAAAUUUGUAUGCUUUUGCUUG